rnacentral:rRNA from 1 species
AUUGAACGCUGGCGGCAGGCUUAACACAUGCAAGUCGAGCGGGGUGAUGGUGCUUGCACUAUCACUUAGCGGCGGACGGGUGAGUAAUGCUUAGGAAUCUGCCUAUUAGUGGGGGACGACAUCUCGAAAGGGAUGCUAAUACCGCAUACGUCCUACGGGAGAAAGCAGGGGAUCACUUGUGACCUUGCGCUAAUAGAUGAGCCUAAGUCGGAUUAGCUAGUUGGUGGGGUAAAGGCCUACCAAGGCGACGAUCUGUAGCGGGUCCGAGAGGAUGAUCCGCCACACUGGGACUGAGACACGGCCCAGACUCCUACGGGAGGCAGCAGUGGGGAAUAUUGGACAAUGGGGGGAACCCUGAUCCAGCCAUGCCGCGUGUGUGAAGAAGGCCUUAUGGUUGUAAAGCACUUCAAGCGAGGAGGAGGCUCUUUUGGUUAAUACCCAAGAUGAGUGGACGUUACUCGCAGAAUAAGCACCGGCUAACUCUGUGCCAGCAGCCGCGGUAA